GAACGAGGAGUGUUGUUCCACAUGAACGAGGUGUGUUGUUCCACAUGAACGAGGCGCGUGGUUCCACAUAAACGAGGCGUGUUGUUCCACAUGAACGAGGCGUGUUAUUCCACAUGAACGAGGAGUGUUGUUCCACAUGAAAGAGGCGUGUUGUUCCAUGAACGAGGCGUGUUGUUCCACAUGAACGAGGCGUGUUGUUCCAUGAACGAGGCGUGUUGUUCCACAUGAACGAGGCGUGUUGUUCCACAUGAACGAGGCGUGUUGUUCCACAUGAAUGAGGCGUGUUGUUCCACAUGAACGAGGCGUGUUGUUCCAUGAAUGAGGCGUGUUGUUCCACAUGAAUGAGGCGUGUUGUUCCACAUGAACGAGGCGUGUUGUUCCAUGAAUGAGGCGUGUUGUUCCAUGAAUGAGGCGUGUUGUUCCAUGAACGAGGCGUGUUGUUCCAUGAACGAGGCGUGUUGUUCCAUGAACGAGGCGUGUUGUUCCAUGAUCGAGGUGUGUUGUUCCACAUGAAUGAGGCGUGUUGUUCCACAU
ensembl:lncRNA